rnacentral:tRNA from 1 species
GCCUCCGUGGCGCAAUCGGCUAGCGCGUUCGGCUGUUAACCGAAAGUUUGUUGGUUCGAGCCAACACGGGGGCG